rnacentral:rRNA from 1 species
UAAUACAUGCAAGUCGAGCGAACAGAAGGGAGCUUGCUCCCGGAUGUUAGCGGCGGACGGGUGAGUAACACGUGGGUAACCUGCCUGUAAGACUGGGAUAACUCCGGGAAACCGGAGCUAAUACCGGAUAGUUCCUUGAACCGCAUGGUUCAAGGAUGAAAGACGGUUUCGGCUGUCACUUACAGAUGGACCCGCGGCGCAUUAGCUAGUUGGUGGGGUAAUGGCUCACCAAGGCGACGAUGCGUAGCCGACCUGAGAGGGUGAUCGGCCACACUGGGACUGAGACACGGCCCAGACUCCUACGGGAGGCAGCAGUAGGGAAUCUUCCGCAAUGGACGAAAGUCUGACGGAGCAACGCCGCGUGAGUGAUGAAGGUUUUCGGAUCGUAAAGCUCUGUUGUUAGGGAAGAACAAGUGCGAGAGUAACUGCUCGCACCUUGACGGUACCUAACCAGAAAGCCACGGCUAACUACGUGCCAGCAGCCGCGGUAAUACGUAGGUGGCAAGCGUUGUCCGGAAUUAUUGGGCGUAAAGGGCUCGCAGGCGGUUUCUUAAGUCUGAUGUGAAAGCCCCCGGCUCAACCGGGGAGGGUCAUUGGAAACUGGGAAACUUGAGUGCAGAAGAGGAGAGUGGAAUUCCACGUGUAGCGGUGAAAUGCGUAGAGAUGUGGAGGAACACCAGUGGCGAAGGCGACUCUCUGGUCUGUAACUGACGCUGAGGAGCGAAAGCGUGGGGAGCGAACAGGAUUAGA